CAUUUCCAAUCUAAAAAUUGGAGCGUUCCAGUGCACCAUCUGAAAUAAAAAUAAAAUAAAAUUAAGUGGACAAUUUGACCAAA
rnacentral:rRNA from 12 species